AAGUAAGAAGCAAAACUUGCAAUCAGUUUCGACCUGAUCCUAGAUAAAAUCUUUAUCCUUACUUU
rnacentral:tRNA from 1 species